GACGAACGCUGGCGGCGUGCUUAACACAUGCAAGUCGAACGGUGAAGCGCCUUCCUUUUUGGUGGGUGUGGAUGAGUGGCGAACGGGUGAGUAACACGUGAGUAACCUGCCCCCUUUUUCUGGAUAACCGCAUGAAAGUGUGGCUAAUACGGGAUAUUCUGGGUCUGUCGCAUGAUGGGUCUGGGAAAGAUAUUGUUUCGGUGGGGGAUGGGCUCGCGGCCUAUCAGCUUGUUGGUGGGGUGAUGGCCUACCAAGGCGGUGACGGGUAGCCGGCCUGAGAGGGUGGACGGUCACACUGGGACUGAGACACGGCCCAGACUCCUACGGGAGGCAGCAGUGGGGAAUAUUGCACAAUGGGCGCAAGCCUGAUGCAGCGACGCCGCGUGAGGGAUGGAGGCCUUCGGGUUGUGAACCUCUUUCGCCAGUGAAGCAGGCCUGCCUCGUUUGUGGGUGGGUUGACGGUAGCUGGAGAAGAAGCGCCGGCUAACUACGUG
rnacentral:rRNA from 1 species